GAUCAAUGAUGAAAAUAGCCAAAUCUGAGCAUCAGAAGACUUUGUGGUCUCCCUGAUUCAUGAUCUCUAUAGUUCUGGGA
ensembl:snoRNA